rnacentral:misc_RNA from 1 species
AGCAGCCGCGGUAAUUCCAGCUCCAAUAGCGUAUAUUAAAGUUGUUGCAGUUAAAAGCUCGUAGUUGAAUUUCGGGGUUAGUAGGUUGGUCAUGCCUCUGGUAUGUACUGGUCUCACUGAUUCCUCCUUCCUGAUGAACCUUAAUGCCAUUAAUUUGGUGUUUUGGGGAAUUUGGACUGUUACUUUGAAAAAUUAGAGUGUUUAAAGCAAGCUAACGCUUGAAUACAUUAGCAUGGAAUAAUGAAAUAGGACGUUCGAUCCUAUUUUGUUGGUUUCUAGGAUUGACGUAAUGAUUAAUAGGGAUAGUUGGGGGCAUUAGUAUUCAAUUGUCAGAGGUGAAAUUCUUGGAUUUAUUGAAGACUAACUACUGCGAAAGCAUUUGCCAAGGAUGUUUUCAUUAAUCAAGAACGAAAGUUAGGGAUCGAAGACGAUCAGAUACCGUCGUAGUCUUAACCAUAAACUAUGCCGACUAGGGAUCGGAUGAUGUUAAUUUUUUAAUGACUCAUUCGGCGCCUUACGG